rnacentral:rRNA from 1 species
CGCGUGGCGAAGGGAGCGUAACACGUGGAUAACCUUCCUUCAGGCGGGGAAUAACCCAGCGAAAGUUGGGCUAAUACCGCAUAACAUGACGGCGGCACAUGCUGCUGUCCUCAAAGCCGCAAGGCACCAGAGGAGGGAUCCGCGGCCGAUUAGCUAGUUGGCGAGGUAACGGCUCACCAAGGCAAAGAUCGGUAGCCGGUCUGAGAGGAUGAUCGGCCACACUGGAACUGAGACACGGUCCAGACUCCUACGGGAGGCAGCAGUGGGGAAUCUUGCGCAAUGGGCGAAAGCCAGACGCAGCAACGCCGCGUGGGGGAUGAAGCUUCUCGGAGUGUAAACCCCUUUCGACCCGGACGAAUGCCCGCAAGGGUUAGACGGUACGGGUAUAAGAAGCCCCGGCUAACUACGUGCCAGCAGCCGCGGUAAAACGUAGGGGGCCAGCGUUGCUCGGAAUUACUGUGCGUAAAGGGUCCGUAGGCGGUGUGGCAAGUCGGAAGUGAAAUCUCUGGACUUAACUCAAAGGCUGCUUCCGA